GGCCCCGUAGCUCAGAUGGUAAGAGUGCCGGCUGUACUCAGGUUUUGACUUUGCUGUCGUGGGUUCGAGUCCUACUGAGGCCA
rnacentral:tRNA from 1 species